GAUGAACGCUGGCGGCGUGCUUAACACAUGCAAGUCGAACGGAAAGGCCCUGCUUUUGUGGGGUGCUCGAGUGGCGAACGGGUGAGUAACACGUGAGUAACCUGCCCUUGACUUUGGGAUAACUUCAGGAAACUGGGGCUAAUACCGGAUAGGAGCUCCUGCUGCAUGGUGGGGGUUGGAAAGUUUCGGCGGUUGGGGAUGGACUCGCGGCUUAUCAGCUUGUUGGUGGGGUAGUGGCUUACCAAGGCUUUGACGGGUAGCCGGCCUGAGAGGGUGACGGGCCAAAUUGGGAUGGGGAACCGGCCCAGACCCCUACGGGGGGAAGGGGGGGGGAAUAUGGCAAAAGGGGGGGAAGCCGGAGGCAGCAACGCCGGGGGGGGGAGGGGGGCCUUGGGGUGGUAACCCGCUUUCCCCUGGGAAGAAGGGGGGGUGAGGGUAAUGGGGAAAGAAGCACCGGCUAACUACGG
rnacentral:rRNA from 1 species